AAUGAACGCUGGCGGAAGGCCUAACACAUGCAAGUCGAACGAGUGGCGGACGGGUGAGUAAUGUCUGGGAAACUGCCUGAUGGAGGGGGUUAACUACUGGAAACGGUAGCUAAUACCGCAUACCAUCGGAUGUGCCCAUAUGGGAUUAGCUAGUAGGUGGGGUAAAGGCUCACCUAGGCGACGAUCUCUAGCUGGUCUGAGAGGAUGACCAGCCACACUGGAACUGAGACACGGCCCAGACUCCUACGGGAGGCAGCAGUGGGGAAUAUUGCACAAUGGGCGCAAGCCUGAUGAAGCAAUGCCGCGUGUAUGAAGAAGGCCUUCGGGUUGUAAAAUACUGUCAGCAGGGAGGCGGUACCCGAAGAAGAAGCCACGGCUAACUCCGUGCCAGCAGCCGCGGUAAUUC
rnacentral:rRNA from 1 species